CCGAGCCUCCCCUGCUCUGGAGAAAAAGCAAAACCGACUCUUGAGUGAAAUCUGUGUCCAUUUUGCUUCCAGUCUUAUCAACUUGUGGGUUUCGAAGGGCUGGCGUGACAGGAAUGAAACACCGCCCCACUUCAGGAGCCCAAAUAGGACCAACACUGUGCCUGUUUGCAGCCAGCGCACUAUUGCUAUUACCUCCGCUGCUGCUGCCACGGUAACAGACUCCACCUAUAAAGCAGAAUCACCGUUACGUGAUGAUAAAGCUGACGGAGAGCUCAAUUCCUGCUCCUGAGAGAGCCCCUGCUGGGCACUGUAAACUGUCCGGAUGUAACGCAUGUCAGCUUGUUGCAUUCCACCACUUCCU